rnacentral:rRNA from 1 species
UACGUAGGGGGGCUAGCGUUGUCCGGAAUCAUUGGGGCGUAAAGAGCGUGUAGGCGGUCCGGUAAGUCCGCUGUGAAAGUCGGGGGCUCAACCCUCGAAUGCCGGUGGAUACUGUCGGGCUAGAGUGCGGAAGAGGCGAGUGGAAUUCCUGGUGUAGCGGUGAAAUGCGCAGAUAUCAGGAGGAACACCUAUUGCGAAGGCAGCUCGCUGGGACGUAACUGACGCUGAGACGCGAAAGCGUGGGGAGCAAACAGG